rnacentral:rRNA from 1 species
GACGAACGCUGGCGGCGUGCUUAACACAUGCAAGUCGAACGGAAAGGCCCUUCGGUGGUACUCGAGCGGCGAACGGGUGAGUAACACGUGAGUAAUCUGCCCCUGGCUUUGGGAUAGCCACCGGAAACGGUGAUUAAUACCGGAUACGACCACUUCUCGCAUGGGAUGGUGGUGGAAAGUUUUUUCGGCCAGGGAUGUGCUCGCGGCCUAUCAGCUUGAUGGUGAGGUAAUGGCUCACCAUGGCUGCGACGGGUAGCCGGCCUGAGAGGGUGACCGGUCACACUGGGACUGAGACACGGCCCAGACUCCUACGGGAGGCAGCAGUGGGGAAUAUUGGACAAUGGGCGGAAGCCUGAUCCAGCAACGCCGCGUGAGGGAUGACGGCCUUCGGGUUGUAAACCUCUUUCAGCAGGGACGAAGCGCAAGUGACGGUACCUGCAGAAGAAGCACCGGCCAACUACGUGCCAGCAGCCGCCGUAACAC